UACAGAGGGUGCGAGCGUUAAUCGGAAUUACUGGGCGUAAAGCGCGCGUAGGCGGCUUUGCAAGUCGGGUGUGAAAUCCCCAGGCUUAACCUGGGAACUGCAUUCGAGACUGCAUUGCUAGAGUAUGGGAGAGGGAAGUGGAAUUUCCGGUGUAGCGGUGAAAUUCGUAGAUAUUCGCAAGAACACCAGUGGCGAAGGCGGCUCACUGGCCCGAUACUGACGCUGAGGCACGAAAGCGUGGGGAGCAAACAGG
rnacentral:rRNA from 1 species